CCUACGGGAGGCAGCAGUGGGGAAUAUUGCACAAUGGGGGAAACCCUGAUGCAGCGACGCCGCGUGAGUGAAGAAGUAUUUCGGUAUGUAAAGCUCUAUCAGCAGGGAAGAAAAUGACGGUACCUGAUUAAGAAGCCCCGGCUAACUACGUGCCAGCAGCCGCGGUAAUACGUAGGGGGCAAGCGUUAUCCGGCUUUACUGGGUGUAAAGGGAGCGUAGACGGCAGCACAAGUCUGGAGUGAAAUGCCGGGGCUUAACCCCGGAACUGCUUUGGAAACUGUGCAGCUAGAGUGCAGGAGAGGUAAGUGGAAGUUGUAGGGGAGAGGUGAAAUGAGGAGAUAGGAGGAGGAACAGCAGGGGCGAAGGCGGCUGAAUGGACUGUAACUGACGUGGAGGCUCGAAAGAGUGGGGAGAAAACAGGAUGAGAUACCCGUGUAGGA
rnacentral:rRNA from 1 species